AGCUUUUAGUUUUAUUAUUAAAAGUAUCUCCUGCCCAGUGACUUUAUGUUUAACGGCCGCGGUAUCCUAACCGUGCAAAGGUAGCAUAAUAACUUGCCUCUUAAUUAGUGGCUAGAAUGAACGGAUCUACGUAGCUACUCCUCUAACAUGCUUACCCUUAAAAAUUAUCCUUUAGGUGAAGAGACCUAAAUAAAAAUAAAGGACAAGAAGACCCUGUCGAGCUUUAUGAAAACUAAGUUACUUUACCUACUAUCAUUUGGUUGGGGCGACCAGAGAACAAGUCUAACUUCUCCUUACCCAAAAGAAUAAACCUUCUUUAAUAAAAACCUUUAAAGUAUUUUAACAAGCUACCGCAGGGAUAACAGGCUAAUUCUUCUUAAGAGCCCAAAUUGACAGAAGAGUUUGGCACCUCGAUGUUGGCUUAAGACAUCCCUUUAUUGCAGAAAUUAAAAACGGUAGGCUUGUUCAGCCUUUAAUGUCUU
rnacentral:rRNA from 1 species